GAUGAAGAACGUAGCGAAAUGCGAUAAGUAAUGUGAAUUGCAGAAUUCAGUGAAUCAUUGAAUCAUUGAACGCACCUUGCGCUCCUUGGUAUUCCGGGGAGCAUGCCUGUUUGAGUGUCAUUAAUAUAUCAACCUUCUCUUUUUGAGUUGUUUGGAUGUGGGGGUUUGCUGGCCUCUUAAAUGAUUCAGCUCCCCUGAAAUGCAUUAGCAGAACAACCUGUUCAUUGGCGUGAUAAUUAUCUAUGCUAUUGAAUGUGAGGGCAGUUCAGCUUUCUAACCGUCCUUGGACAAUUCAUCAUUAAUGUGACCUCAAAUCAGGUAGGACUACCCGCUGAACUUAAGCAUAUCAAUAAGCGGAGGA
rnacentral:misc_RNA from 1 species